UCCCGGGAACCCUGCAGAGAUGCUGGGGUGACUUCGGGAACCCGGAGACAGGUGCUGCAUGGGUGGCCUCCGCUCGUGGCGGGAGAUGGUGGGGUAAAUCCCGGAACCAGCGCAACCCUUGUCCCUAUUUGCCAGCGGUUCGGCCGGACACUCUAGGGAGACUGCCGGUGACGAACCGAAGGCAGGUGGGGAUGACCUCAAGUCAUCAUGGCCCUUUUGGGCUGGGGUACACACGUGCUACAAUGGGCGGUACAAAGGGGUGCCAACCCGCGGGGGGAAACCAAUCCCAAAAAACCGCUCGUAGUCGGGAUCGGAAUCUGAAACUCGCCUCCGUUAAGUCCGAAUCGCUAGUAAUCGUGCAUCAGAAUGCCCCGGUGAAUACGUUCCCCGGCCUUUUCCACACCGCC
rnacentral:rRNA from 1 species